AGCUGGUUCUCCUCGAAAUAGCUUUAGGGCUAGCCUCGAGAGGAGUCUAACGGAGGUAAAGCACUGAACUGACGCGGGGCCCAAAAAGGUUACCAACUCAUAUCAAACUAAGAAUGCCGUCAAGAUACCCUCGGGAGUCAGACUACGGGAGAUAAGUUUCGUGGUCAAAAGGGAAAGAGCCCAGACCGACAGCUAAGGUCCCAAAGUGUGUGUUAAGUGGAAAAGGAUGUGGGAUUUCAAAGACAACUAGGAUGUUGGCUUAGAAGCAGCCAUACAUUUAAAGAGUGCGUAAUAGCUCACUAGUCGAGAGAACCUGCGCCGAAAAUAAUCGGGGCUAAAACACACCACCGAAGCUACGGAUUUAUUACAGAGGUAAUAAGUGGUAGAGGAGCAUACUGCAAGGACGAAGCCAAAGUGAGAACGAUGGUGGACGAAGCAGUAGAGAGAAUGCCGGAAUGAGUAGCGAGAUAUAUGUAAGAAACAUAUAGGCCGAAUAUCUAAGGUUUCCUGAGUAAAGCUAAUCUUCUCAGGGUAAGUCGGGGCCUAAGGCGAGGACGAGAGUCGUAGUCGAUGGACAACUGGUAGAGAUUCCAGUACUAUGUAUAAUCAGAACUGUGGGGACGCAGGAGGAUAGGUGUACCGCGGAAAGGGAAGACGCGGUCAAGCACAAAGUCGAGUUUGAAAGGCAAAUCCGUCAAACGAUGAUGAAGUGUGACGAGGACUGAAAAAGAGUAGGGAAGACACUGAAUCCACACUGCCGAGAAAAGCCGCUAUAGUGUUAUACAUACCCGUACCGUAAACCGACACAGGUAGAUGAGGAGAAAAUCCACAGGCCGACGGGAGAAGUGUUGUUAAGGAACUCGGCAAAAUGACCCCGUAACUUAGGGAGAAGGGGAGCCACGAAAGUGGUCACAGAAAAGAGGCUCAAGCAACUGUUUAGCAAAAACACAGGUCUCUGCUAAACCGAAAGGUGAAGUAUAGGGGCUGACACCUGCCCGGUGCUGGAAGGUUAAAAGGAGAGGUAAGGAGCAAUCCGAAGCUUUGAAUUCAAGCCCCAGUAAACGGCGGCCGUAACUAUAACGGUCCUAAGGUAGCGAAAUUCCUUGUCAGGUAAGUUCUGACCCGCACGAAAGGUGUAAUGAUUUGAGCACUGUCUCGACAACACGCCCGGUGAAAUUGAAGUACCAGUGAAGAUGCUGGUUACCCGCAACAGGACGGAAAGACCCCAUGGAGCUUUACUGCAGCCUGAUACUGGGAUUCGAUGAUGUAUGUACAGGAUAGGUGGGAGACUAAGAAGGUAGCACGCCAGUGUUGCCGGAGUCGACGGUGGGAUACCUCUCUUAUAUCAUUGGAUUUCUAACCUGUAUCCGUGAACCGGAUAGGGGACAAUGUCAGGCGGGCAGUUUGACUGGGGCGGUCGCCUCCAAAAGAGUAACGGAGGCGCUCAAAGGUCUUCUCAGAAUGAUUGGAAACCAUUCAAAGAGUGUAAAGGCAAAAGAAGGCUUGACUGCGAGGUCGACGGACCGAGCAGGUACGAAAGUA
rnacentral:rRNA from 1 species